CACCAGCCCCUCGAGUGGUAGGGAUGAUUAUUUGGCCUAAAGCGUCCGUAGCCUGCCGAGUAAGUUUUCCGUUAAAUCCAGCGUCUCAAGCGUUGGACUGCGGGAAAUACUGCUUGGCUAGAGAGUGGGAGAGGUAAGCGGUAUUCUGGGGGUAGGGGCGAAAUCCUUUGAUCCCCGGAGGACCACCAGUGGCGAAGGCUGCUUACUAGAACACGUCUGACGGUCAGGGACGAAAGCUGCGGUAGCGAACCGGAUUAGAUACCCGGGUAGUCCCAGCCGUAAACGAUGCAUGCUAGGUGUUGGGUUGGCCACGAGCCACCCCGGUGCCGCAGGGAAGCCGUUAAGCUCGCCGCCUAAGGAGUACGGCCGCAAGGCUAGAAACUUAAAGGAAUUGGCGGGGGAGCACCACAAGGCGUGAAGCUUGCGGUUC
rnacentral:rRNA from 1 species